rnacentral:rRNA from 1 species
UGGGGAAUUUUGGACAAUGGGGGAAACCCUGAUCCAGCCAUCCCGCGUGUUCGAUGAAGGCCUUCGGGUUGUAAAGCACUUUUGGCAGGAAAGAAACGUCAUGGGUUAAUACCCCGUGAAACUGACGGUACCUGCAGAAUAAGCACCGGCUAACUACGUGCCAGCAGCCGCGGUAAUACGUAGGGUGCAAGCGUUAAUCGGAAUUACUGGGCGUAAAGCGUGCGCAGGCGGUUCGGAAAGAAAGAUGUGAAAUAACAGAGCUCAACUUUGGAACUGCAUUUUUAACUACCGGGCUAGAGUGUGUCAGAGGGAGGUGGAAUUCCGCGUGUAGCAGUGAAAUGCGUAGAUAUGCGGAGCAACACAGAUGGCGAAGGCAGCCUCCUGGGAUAACACUGCCACUCAUGCAAGAAAGCGUGGGGAGCAAACAGG